rnacentral:rRNA from 1 species
UACGUAGGGUGCGAGCGUUGUCCGGAAUUACUGGGCGUAAAGAGCUCGUAGGUGGUUUGUCGCGUUGUCCGUGAAAACUCACAGCUCAACUGUGGGCGUGCGGGCGAUACGGGCAGACUGGAGUACUGCAGGGGAGACUGGAAUUCCAGGUGUAGCGGUGAAAUGCGUAGAUAUCUGGAGGAACACCGGUGGCGAAGGCGGCGUCCUGGACCAACACUGACACUGAGGAGCGAAAGCCAGGGGAGCAAACGGG